rnacentral:misc_RNA from 1 species
AACGCACGAGACCUGCGGACCUGCGGAAGGAUCAUUACAAGUGACCCCGGUUUACCACCGGGAUGUUCAUAACCCUUUGUUGUCCGACUCUGUUGCCUCCGGGGCGACCCUGCCUUCGGGCGGGGGCUCCGGGUGGACACUUCAAACUCUUGCGUAACUUUGCAGUCUGAGUAAACUUAAUUAAUAAAUUAAAACUUUCAACAAUGGAUCUCU